GAUGAGGGAACUGAUGGAGACAUCAGCUGCAGCGUGAAGAACCACGUCAGUCACGCACAGAAGACCAUUAGAGUCCAACCCUGUCCUAUGUGUUCAGUGUCUGUGGUGUUCGUGCUGGUCUGGUGUCUUCAGCUGAUGGUUCUGUUGGGUCUGUUAGGAGGUUUUCACAUCUACAUGAGACACACGUCAGGAAAGAAGCAGGACGAUCAGAAAGUGAGGAUGAGAAGAUUUAGAGAAGGACAUGAACACACAGCAGAAGAUUCAUGAGAGAAGCAGAUCUUCUGUAUUUUAUAUGAUUUUUAACAUGUUUAGACACAGAUGUCUAUUUUUUAUU